UACGUAGGGUGCAAGCGUUAAUCGGAAUUACUGGGCGUAAAGCGUGCGCAGGCGGCUUUGCAAGACAGAUGUGAAAUCCCCGGGCUUAACCUGGGAACUGCAUUUGUGACUGCAUGGCUAGAGUGCGGCAGAGGGGGAUGGAAUUCCGCGUGUAGCAGUGAAAUGCGUAGAUAUGCGGAGGAACACCGAUGGCGAAGGCAAUCCCCUGGGCCGGCACUGACGCUCAUGCACGAAAGCGUGGGGAGCAAACAGG
rnacentral:rRNA from 1 species